UACGAGGAGAGCAAGCGUUAUCCGGAUUUAUUGGGCGUAAAGCGUGCGCAAGCGGUUUUAUAAGUGAGAUGUUAAAUACCAAGGCUCAACCUUGGAAUCGCACCUCAUACUGUAAGACUAGAGUCAAUGAGAGGCAAACGGAAUUGCUGGUGUAGUAGUGAAAUGCGUUGAUAUCAGCAGGAACACCAAAAGCGAAAGCAGUUUGCUGGCAUUGUACUGACGCCGUUGCACGACAGCGUGGGGAGCAAAC
rnacentral:rRNA from 1 species